GAGACUCUGUGCGCGUGCAUAUCAAUAAGCGGAGGAAAAGAAACUAACAAGGAUUCCCUUAGUAACGGCGAGUGAAGCGGGAAGAGCUCAAAUUUGAAAUCUUCAAGGUUCUACCUUGACGAAUUGUAGUUUAUAGAAGUGUUUUCUGUUAGUAGAGUGGCAAAAGUUCUUUGGAAUAGGACAUCAUAGAGGGUGAGAAUCCCGUAUUUGGUCAUUCUUUCUAGCUUUGUGAUACACUUUCAACGAGUCGGAUUGUUUGGGAAUGCAGUCCAAAAUGGGUGGUAAAUUUCAUCUAAAGCUAAAUAUUGGCGAGAGACCGAUAGCGAACAAGUACCGUGAGGGAAAGAUGAAAAGAACUUUGAAAAGAGAGUUAAACAGUACGUGAAAUUGUCAAAAGGGAAGCGUUUGACACCAGUGUUGUUUUUUCCGAAAAUCAAUUACGAAUGUUUUAGUUUUUGAGAAGUUAUGACUUUCACCGGCUUGCUUCUCUCUUUAUGAAACUUUCUUAAUGCACUUUUCGGUUAACAAGUCAACAUCAAUUUCUUUUGUUGUAAAAGGGUAUGAGGAAGGUGGCUUUCUUUUCGGAGAAAGUGUUUAUAGCCUUGUACCUCUGCAAUCGGAGAGAUUGAGGUCUGCAGCGUAGAUCCUUCGGGGUUAGAUACAUUUGUGCUAAGUUAUAGCUUUUCAUAGACAACUUGUUGACUAUGUUUAGUCUUGUAGCUUACUCGCUUAUGCUAUUUUACCUACGCUUAGGAUGAUGAUCUGUAGUGCGUGCGC
rnacentral:rRNA from 1 species